GUGAAUCAUCGAAUCUUUGAACGCAUAUUGCACUCCCUGGUAUUCCGGAGAGUAUGCCUAUUUGAGGGUCAUUUGAAAUAAUAUAAAUUUCGAUAGGUUCUUGGAAUCAAAUAUGGGACGGUCCAGCAGUCGUUUGGUGGUCGCCUAAAAUGCAAGACAAGCCCAUUUCUUGGGCUGCGUGAUACUUUCAGUUACCUCGUGACUUCACAAUGAAUCUUUGAUCGUGUUAGGAAUUGUGCA
rnacentral:misc_RNA from 1 species